rnacentral:rRNA from 1 species
GUAACGCUGGCGGUUUGCCUAACACAUGACAAGUCGAACGAAAGUUUAUCCUUUAGUGUGCGGACGGGUGAGUAAUACGUGAGAAUCACUUUAGAAGGGAAUAACAAUUGGAAACGAUUGCUAAUGCCCUAUAUGCUUAGCAGUGAAACAGAUUUAUCUGCCUGAAGAUGAGCUCGCGCCUGAUUAGCUAGUUGGUAGAGUAAAAGCCUACCAAGGCAACGAUCAGUAGCUGGUUUGAGAGGACGAUCAGCCACACUGGGACUGAGACACGGCCCAGACUUCUACGGAAGGCAGCAGUGGGGAAUUUUCCGCAAUGAGCGAAAGCUUGACGGAGCAAUACCGCGUGAGGGAAGAAUGCCUGUGGGUUGUAAACCUCUUUUUUUAGGGAAGAAAAUAUGACGGUACCUAAAGAAUAAGCAUCGGCUAACUCCGUGCCAGCAGCCGCGGUAAUACGGGGGAUGCAAGCGUUAUCCGGGACAUUACUGGGCGUAAAGCGUCUGCAGGUGGCUUAAAAAGUCUGCUGUUAAAUAUUAGAGCUCAACUCUGAGUAACCAGUGGAAACUGUUAAGGCUAGAGUAUGGUAUGGGUCAACAGGGAACUUCCCAGUGUAGCGGGUGAAAUGCGUAAUAUUCGGGGAAAGAACACCAAGUUAGCGAAAAGACGCUUUUACUUAGACCAUUACCUUGACACUCCAGAAGCCACGAAAAGCUAGGGGAGC